rnacentral:rRNA from 1 species
UACGUAGGGGGCAAGCGUUGUCCGGAUUCAUUGGGCGUAAAGGGCGUGUAGGCGGCCCGAUAAGUCCGCCGUGAAAGUCCAGGGCUCAACCCUGGAACGCCGAUGGAUACUGCCGGGCUAGAGUCCGGAAGAGGCGAGUGGAAUUCCUGGUGUAGCGGUGGAAUGCGCAGAUAUCAGGAGGAACACCAAUAGCGAAGGCAGCUCGCUGGGACGGUACUGACGCUGAGGCGCGAAAGCGUGGGGAGCGAACAGG